rnacentral:lncRNA from 1 species
CAGAUGCAGAGCAAAAGUUGCUCUCAGGCCAGAAGAGACCAUUUAAAAGCUCUCCGCCGGUUUCAGAACACAAAUAAAUUUCCCAAUCCUCUGCAAAGACAGAACUGAAGAAUUACUGGACAGCACGCCAGAGGCAGGGACCUGAGGGCAGGCCAUCUUGCUAUGCCGGGAGGAGACGGUCACUGUUGCUAAGGGUCAUCCAUCCUUAGUCUCGAAGAAAUCUCUUCCUGAUCUCUUCACCAACUCUCCCCACUACUAGAGAAUUGAGCUACUCCCAAAGAUGAGGCCUUGAUGUGCAGACGCGAUGGGGCAACGAUGAGACCGAAUAAACAAUUGACAUCUAACCCCAGAAGAAGAGCAAGGACCUGGGACCCAGAAGGAAGAGGCUGUGAGAGGUACAAACUGCAGGCAUGGACAUGAUGCAUAUAGAGGACAGCCACACUAAGCUUUGAGGCUUCUGGAGGCAACACAGAGUAACCAUUUGAAUGGAAAUCACUGAACAGACACAGAGAAAGAGAAACCAUCCAAUGACUUGAGGGUGACACCAAGUUUGCCUGGUGGCCUCAGGACUCCUGGCUCACUGGUCCCACUGUCUCCCCCCGCCCAUCAGAAUACAUGAAGGCUGGUGGGGCACGGUGGCCCAUGUCUGUAAUCCCAACACUUUGGGAGGCCAAGGCGGGCAGAUCACCUGAGUUCGAGACCAGCCUGGCCAACAUGGUGAAACCUCGGCUCUACUAAAAAUACAAAAUUAGCUGAGUGUGGUGGCACAUGCCUGUAAUCCCAGCUACUCGGGAGGCUGAGGCAGGAGAAUCACUUGAACCCAGGAGGCUGAGGUUGCAGUGAGCUGGGAUCAUGCCACUGCACUCCAGCCUGGCGACAGAGUGAGACUCCAUCUCCAAAAAAAAAAAAAAAAAAAAUACGUGAAGGCUUUCCUACCACACCAUGCAUGUGGGACACGUCAGAGUGGGAAGCUCCAUGGAUCUACAGCAAGGCUGUUCGACUAAGAGUGAAUAAAUGGGUGAAUUCCAUGGGCUGAACAUGUCAGGAAUAUUUUCUUCUUAGGGCAGCGAUCUUAACUUCUGGAGAAAUUGAGUUCCUAAGCUGUAGAGCCUUAGAACCCUGGCAUACAUUUCUGUGGAGAAACAGAAAGCCCAGACAUCCCAGUCCACACACGUCUUUCUUCUGACCAACACCAGCCAUAGGAAGCAAGGCCCGGGAGAGCACUGGGGACAGGGCAUGUCCGCCCGGAGCAGGGCAGGAGAGCACAGGCAUGUGAUGCAGCCCUGGGUCUGUCGUCCCGUUUGCGCCGGGAAUGAAUCGGGUUUUUCUAGCCUCUAAGCACAGAGGUAUUUUUGACUCAGCACCGUGAAGAGACGACAAUAGCUCAGCUUCUGCCAGCUGCCCGAUUUAGACACGAGACCUUCACUACAUAUUUCUGUCUCUUGCCCUACUCAGAAGAAGGACUUAAAAAUCCCCCAAGACGGAACUGAGUUUUCCUCUGUUCAUUUUUUUAAAUUACACUACUUGAAGAACCCCAAACAAAUAAGGCUCUGGGCCUCCAAGACCAUGUAAUCCAUUGUGCUCGUGUGGAAGAGCUGCCCCCAGUAGAGGCAACAGGAAUGGCCUGGUCACUCAGCAGGUCCCCUGCCCAUCUUCCCACCACCCCUUGCCCCACCCACCGGGAAGGAGGAGGGAGCACAGGCUGCUUUGAGCAGUCAUCGUGCCUCUACCUGGAGCCUGUACUCACUGUCUUGGGGGCCGGUAUUUCCCAGGAGGGCUAUUGUGUGUUUCCUUGUCUGUUUCUCUUUCUGGAAUGCGAGCUGUUUCAAAAUGAACUGAAGAUCAUUCACCUCCACCCCUCAGCUCUCAGCAUAGAGGUGUGCACAGAGUACAUGCUCAGUAAAUGUUUA